UGAUCCAAAACAGUUUUCCCUUGAGGCGGAUUUUCUGAAGGGCAAGGCUGACCUUCUCAUCUAUUUCCUCAAACUAGAAGACAGCACGACUUAUGAGUGUACUUCCCAGAUUCGAGGGGAUACAACAGGCAAGAAUGUGGAUACAACAAAUUUGGUGGUUUUGGCUGCUCCAUCUACACCCAUCUGUGAGGUGCAGGGAAUGCCUCAGUUUGGCCAGAACAUCCAUCUCAUCUGUUUUUCUGAAGAAGCUUUUUCCCGCUCCCCAAUACAAAUGGCAAAGUCAUGAUGUUCAGAACAAUCUUCGUCCUCUAGACCCUUCAUCUGUUGCCGAUGGAGGAGUUUUGAGUCUUUUUGGCAUCACCACAGACACAUCAGGAACCUAUACCUGCACAUCCAGCAAUAGAGUUGGCUCUGCUUCAUGCAGUCUGACGCUCUCAGUCAGACCGUAGAUGGUGAUGAGUUCAGUGACAAAAACCCAAACAAGAACGAUGGAAAUCGCCGUCCUGACGGAGAAGAGAGCUCACAGUAAUAUUGUGAUUUCAAAGAGCGCCUCAUUGAUUGACGGGAUCAAUGUGAUGAAAGGACAGAGCGUUGUGACUCUGACCAAUGCAGUGAUUACAAAGACACAUUUUAACAUUUCAAAUGAAUCACCAGAAAAAAUAAAGCUUUUUCUUUCUCUU